rnacentral:rRNA from 1 species
UUUAUGGAGAGUUUGAUCCUGGCUCAGGAUGAACGCUGGCGGCGUGCCUAAUACAUGCAAGUCGAGCGAACAGAUGAGGAGCUUGCUCCUCUGACGUUAGCGGCGGACGGGUGAGUAACACGUGGAUAACCUACCUAUAAGACUGGGAUAACUUCGGGAAACCGGAGCUAAUACCGGAUAAUAUAUUGAACCGCAUGGUUCAAUAGUGAAAGACGGUUUUGCUGUCACUUAUAGAUGGAUCCGCGCCGCAUUAGCUAGUUGGUAAGGUAACGGCUUACCAAGGCAACGAUGCGUAGCCGACCUGAGAGGGUGAUCGGCCACACUGGAACUGAGACACGGUCCAGACUCCUACGGGAGGCAGCAGUAGGGAAUCUUCCGCAAUGGGCGAAAGCCUGACGGAGCAACGCCGCGUGAGUGAUGAAGGUCUUCGGAUCGUAAAACUCUGUUAUUAGGGAAGAACAAAUGUGUAAGUAACUAUGCACGUCUUGACGG